rnacentral:tRNA from 1 species
GUUCAAGUAGUUUAAUAAAAAUAUUGAUCUUGUAAAUCAAAGUUAAAUAAUUGUAUUUCCUGAACA